UUAAGUUAUUAAGGGCGCACGGUGGAUGCCUUGGCACUAGAAGCCGAUGAAGGACGUUACUAACGACGAUAUGCUUUGGGGAGCUGUAAGUAAGCUUUGAUCCAGAGAUUUCCGAAUGGGGAAACCCAGCAUGAGUUAUGUCAUGUUAUCGAUAUGUGAAUACAUAGCAUAUCAGAAGGCACACCCGGAGAACUGAAACAUCUUAGUACCCGGAGGAAGAGAAAGAAAAUUCGAUUCCCUUAGUAGCGGCGAGCGAAANGGGAAGAGCCCAAACCAACAAGCUUGCUUGUUGGGGUUGUAGGACACUCUAUACGGAGUUACAAAGGACGACAUUAGACGAAUCAUCUGGAAAGAUGAAUCAAAGAAGGUAAUAAUCCUGUAGUCGAAAAUGUUGUCUCUCUUGAGUGGAUCCUGAGUACGACGGAGCACGUGAAAUUCCGUCGGAAUCUGGGAGGACCAUCUCCUAAGGCUAAAUACUCUCUAGUGACCGAUAGUGAACCAGUACCGUGAGGGAAAGGUGAAAAGCACCCCGGAAGGGGAGUGAAAUAGAACCUGAAACCGUGUGCUUACAAGUAGUCAGAGCCCGUUAAUGGGUGAUGGCGUGCCUUUUGUAGAAUGAACCGGCGAGUUACGAUUUGAUGCAAGGUUAAGCAGUAAAUGUGGAGCCGUAGCGAAAGCGAGUCUGAAUAGGGCGUUUAGUAUUUGGUCGUAGACCCGAAACCAGGUGAUCUACCCUUGGUCAGGUUGAAGUUCAGGUAACACUGAAUGGAGGACCGAACCGACUUACGUUGAAAAGUGAGCGGAUGAACUGAGGGUAGCGGAGAAAUUCCAAUCGAACCUGGAGAUAGCUGGUUCUCUCCGAAAUAGCUUUAGGGCUAGCCUCAAGUGAUGAUUAUUGGAGGUAGAGCACUGUUUGGACGAGGGGCCCCUCUCGGGUUACCGAAUUCAGACAAACUCCGAAUGCCAAUUAAUUUAACUUGGGAGUCAGAACAUGGGUGAUAAGGUCCGUGUUCGAAAGGGAAACAGCCCAGACCACCAGCUAAGGUCCCAAAAUAUAUGUUAAGUGGAAAAGGAUGUGGCGUUGCCCAGACAACUAGGAUGUUGGCUUAGAAGCAGCCAUCAUUUAAAGAGUGCGUAAUAGCUCACUAGUCGAGUGACACUGCGCCGAAAAUGUACCGGGGCUAAACAUAUUACCGAAGCUGUGGAUUGUCCUUUGGACAAUGGUAGGAGAGCGUUCUAAGGGCGUUGAAGCAUGAUCGUAAGGACAUGUGGAGCGCUUAGAAGUGAGAAUGCCGGUGUGAGUAGCGAAAGACGGGUGAGAAUCCCGUCCACCGAUUGACUAAGGUUUCCAGAGGAAGGCUCGUCCGCUCUGGGUUAGUCGGGUCCUAAGCUGAGGCCGACAGGCGUAGGCGAUGGAUAACAGGUUGAUAUUCCUGUACCACCUAUAAUCGUUUUAAUCGAUGGGGGGACGCAGUAGGAUAGGCGAAGCGUGCGAUUGGAUUGCACGUCUAAGCAGUAAGGCUGAGUAUUAGGCAAAUCCGGUACUCGUUAAGGCUGAGCUGUGAUGGGGAGAAGACAUUGUGUCUUCGAGUCGUUGAUUUCACACUGCCGAGAAAAGCCUCUAGAUAGAAAAUAGGUGCCCGUACCGCAAACCGACACAGGUAGUCAAGAUGAGAAUUCUAAGGUGAGCGAGCGAACUCUCGUUAAGGAACUCGGCAAAAUGACCCCGUAACUUCGGGAGAAGGGGUGCUCUUUAGGGUUAACGCCCAGAAGAGCCGCAGUGAAUAGGCCCAAGCGACUGUUUAUCAAAAACACAGGUCUCUGCUAAACCGUAAGGUGAUGUAUAGGGGCUGACGCCUGCCCGGUGCUGGAAGGUUAAGAGGAGUGGUUAGCUUCUGCGAAGCUACGAAUCGAAGCCCCAGUAAACGGCGGCCGUAACUAUAACGGUCCUAAGGUAGCGAAAUUCCUUGUCGGGUAAGUUCCGACCCGCACGAAAGGCGUAACGAUUUGGGCACUGUCUCAACGAGAGACUCGGUGAAAUCAUAGUACCUGUGAAGAUGCAGGUUACCCGCGACAGGACGGAAAGACCCCGUGGAGCUUUACUGUAGCCUGAUAUUGAAAUUCGGCACAGCUUGUACAGGAUAGGUAGGAGCCUUUGAAACGUGAGCGCUAGCUUACGUGGAGGCGCUGGUGGGAUACUACCCUAGCUGUGUUGGCUUUCUAACCCGCACCACUUAUCGUGGUGGGAGACAGUGUCAGGCGGGCAGUUUGACUGGGGCGGUCGCCUCCUAAAAGGUAACGGAGGCGCUCAAAGGUUCCCUCAGAAUGGUUGGAAAUCAUUCAUAGAGUGUAAAGGCAUAAGGGAGCUUGACUGCGAGACCUACAAGUCGAGCAGGGUCGAAAGACGGACUUAGUGAUCCGGUGGUUCCGCAUGGAAGGGCCAUCGCUCAACGGAUAAAAGCUACCCCGGGGAUAACAGGCUUAUCUCCCCCAAGAGUUCACAUCGACGGGGAGGUUUGGCACCUCGAUGUCGGCUCAUCGCAUCCUGGGGCUGUAGUCGGUCCCAAGGGUUGGGCUGUUCGCCCAUUAAAGCGGUACGCGAGCUGGGUUCAGAACGUCGUGAGACAGUUCGGUCCCUAUCCGUCGUGGGCGUAGGAAAUUUGAGAGGAGCUGUCCUUAGUACGAGAGGACCGGGAUGGACAUACCUCUGGUGUACCAGUUGUCGUGCCAACGGCAUAGCUGGGUAGCUAUGUGUGGACGGGAUAAGUGCUGAAAGCAUCUAAGCAUGAAGCCCCCCUCAAGAUGAGAUUUCCCAACUUCGGUUAUAAGAUCCCUCAAAGAUGAUGAGGUUAAUAGGUUCGAGGUGGAAGCAUGGUGACAUGUGGAGCUGACGAAUACUAAUCGAUCGAAGACUUAAUCAA
rnacentral:rRNA from 1 species